UCCCGGAUAGCUCAGUUGGUAGAGCUUUAGGCUUUUAACCUAAUGGUUCAGCGUUCGAAUCCCUGUUCGGGCG